ACACAGCUGAACACCAGACACAGACCUGUCAACCACAGAUAAUGCCACUAUCAACUAGAAAGUAGGCCAUGUGUGGCCACAGUACGGCAGGUCUUAAAGAGUUCCCCGAAUGGGCUACACUGGUUACUGACAAUUUCUACUUUUGAGUUUACAUACUACAGAGGGAGCCUGUGUUUAAGUACUGAAAUUAGACAAAAUGUACUCGGACACUCACUCUGCUAUCAAACCUGUGACCCACUCACCUCAGCCUGCUGAGCACUGGUUACAGGGAUGUACCACCACACUUGGCUUUAACCUUAACCCCAGUCCCUUGUUAUUCUUUAAGAGUCCCACUGUAUAGCCCUGGCUGGCUUCAGACUCACAAAAAUCCACCUUCUUCUGCUUCCUAAGUGCGGGGAUUAAAGGCAUGCACCUCCAUAACUAGCUUUAACCUGUCUCUUGAUGGGAACCAGGUACAGUAAAUCUAUCUGUUAAGAGUCCUAUCCUCCUCCCAAUGGUUUUGGCCCCACUAUCAGUUACAAGUGAGCCUCUAACUUGCAUAGAUUACGUCCCCAGAGGAUGCAGGCUAUCCCCCAUCCAGCCCACCCAGAAGGCAAGAGAGAGCAGUGACUAAGGCUAACCUCCUCACCCUUUCUCAGUCUCAGGUUCUUUUGUCCAGGAAACAGGAAAGGCCCUGGUGCUUCCCUACUCAGGUGUCUUGAGUGUUGUUUGGCCUGGGACAUCUGAAUGUGGGAGUGGGCUGUCUGGCAAAUACACAUACACACGGCUUUACCAAGAAUGGGAAAGCUCUUGGGAAGAGUUUAAUGAGGAAGGGACUUGCUGUGCAAGCAUGAAGACCUGAACUCGGGUUCCCUAAAGCCAAGUAAAGCUGGACACAACAGUACACACAUCUGUAUCCCAGAGCUCCUGUGGCAAGAUAGGAGGUGGACACAGGAGAAUCUAUGAAAACCCACAGGUCAGCUAGCAACAAAAAGACCCUGCUCAGACAAGGCUGAAGGUGAAGACCUGUCCUCUGAUCUCCACCUGUGUGCCAUGCACAUUCACACCGGCACAUCACACACCCACACCACAUACAAAACAGAAAUGGAAGCUUUCAGAAUCUACAGCUAACUAGCCACAGUCUAGGAGUGGCAGCAGGGAUGCCUCAGCCUGCCUAUAAUCACACUACAAACUUAGAAGCGAGGCUCUGUAGAUUGCCACACAGGAGACCCAGGGAUCCCAAGGGAGCUGGGCAUAUCCCAGGCUUAGAUCAGUGCUCUCUGCCCAAAAAAGGCAGAUUUCCCAAGAAGUCUGAUAUGAUUCAGGCUAAAAGGAAAACAUAUUUGUGACAUUCAGAAUGCCAAGCCUUUCUCUGAUAACCGUUCAUUCACGAAGGCGGGGGCCGACAUACUACACUAACAUUGUGAACAUGGCUUUCCCAAACAGGGAAAUGUGUCAUCACUGUGUGACAAGUGUCACAGAGCAUCUUCAAAAGCUGCCUUAUUUAAUCCUCACAACUGCUGGGGUUUGGCGCUGGACCACUUCUCUCCUACAGGGCAAACAGAGGCCCAGAGAGGUAAGUAACUUCUCAAGGAACAAUCUGGGGGGAAAGCAGAAGCAUUAAGAUGGAAGCUAAGCCGAGUCAAGGCUUCUCCAGGACCCAGAGUCUCAGGUCUUCCUGGACUGCCCUAGGCGAUCAAAGCUGGCCCAAUCUAGCACGUUAGGCUUCUUACCUCUUUCUUCUGUGGGCCCCGGAAGAUCUUUACCACUUGGUCCUGCUUGAGCACUGAGCCCAGACAGCCUCUUCUCUGGAAAGAGCUUUCGAGAACCUUCCAGCAAACUUGUGGGCUCAUUAAAGAAGUCCUGUGUUGAGCUGGAGUCUGACAGUGCCACAGCUGUGCUGUCCUGGCUUCGGUCUGAAGAAAGGAGGGGGAGAAGGCAGGAACAUAAACUCACACCACCCCUGGCAGAGAAGGUCUACCAGGGCUAGAUUCCCACACAGCCCAGGACUGUCCUACAGCAGAGCAUUCUUAGCGCACCACUCUAACCCUGCUGAGCCCAACCUACCCAAGAGGCUGAGCCACUUACAAAAGGCACCAAACUCUAUGGUCAACCUUCCGGAGUUUCUCCAAAGAGUAAUCUGGCAAACUCAACAACUGGCUCCUGUGGGAAAAACCCCAAUGUGCUUUGUAUACUGUGGGGAUAUCCCUACUAUGGCUGAUUUCAAGUCACCAACAUGCUGCAGGGAGGUAUGCAGUUGAGAAGAGACAGACUGGUCUCCACUGAGUAGUGCUGCUGCCAUACAGACUUAAAAGAAGGCCCAGUGGCCACAAAAUAAAACAAAACGAACCAGCAACUAUUUUUAGGCAGAUGUACUUUCUAGAACAAAGAGUGUAGACUCCUUUGAGUCUUGGACACAAAGGCAGUUUGUACUCACUCCCUGGCUGUUCUUCUCAAGUGUCCACAGGCACUCUAGGAGGAAGACUAGAGGCAGGGCUAGGAGGAGUGUAGAGAAUGCAGGCCUCGGGAGGAGGGAGAGCUUAAAAGAUAGGAAGCUCGUCUGGACCCUUCAUCCCUAAGGGACAAAACCUCCAGUUUUGGGGUCAGGCAGCAAACCUUGCUGCUUCCAGGAUACAGGGCAAGGAAAAAGGAAGACUUUUUGAUAUAAAAAAAAAAGCAGGAAACCUACCACUAGGGAGGGACGGGGUCACUAAGAAAGCUGUACCGGAGAUGCAGGGCCAUAGAGCCUUCUUAAUCAACAGAAGAAAGCUAUACUUAACUCUGCCCCAGGACAGCCAGCAAGUACCCACUAGCAAAACAAGCAGAGCCGACUCUGCUGCAGGAAAGAGAAGCAAGCAGGGAGAGCCUGAAAGGCCGAAAGCAGAGAAAAGAGCUCGAAGGCUGAGCAAAGCCUCAUCUGGAGAAAACACAAAGCUAGCAGCACAAUGAAGGCAAUCAUAGCAACAACAGACUGCAGCCUUGCUUGGAGGCCCAAAAGCAGGACAGGUACAUCUACUCCAGGAGUAAAUAUUAUUUAUUUCAGUUAGUUUCUGUGGUCCUACAUGUGGUAUCUAGCUAGUAUUCACUAUAAAAUUAUAAGACAUAUGCACAUGCAUUAAGAAACAAACAAAAACGCAUACUGUAAAGAGGCAAAAUAACAGAACUAGAAUUGGAGAUGAUCACUGGCUAUUUAAAAUAGCAACGAUUAAUGUGAUGCAUAGCUAUAAUUAGGAUGUUAAAGCUAUAGUGGAAAAUCUGCACACUACCCACGGACAGAUGGUAAAUUUCAGGAGUGAGCUGGAAAUUAUAAAGAAGAGUCAAAUGUAGUUUCUAGAAAUAAACAAACAGUAACGAGAAAUGAGAUGACGCUUCUGGCCAGGCUUCUCAGCAGACUUGACAUAACAAGGAUGAAGGAUCAAAACUUAAACUAGAGGGCUGAGAAGACGGCUCAGAGCUUCAGAGGAAGCACUGAAAUUCUUACAUUGGACCUGAGUCUGGCUGCUAGCACCCACACAGUGGCUCAAACCCACCAGAUCCAGGGGAUCUAGCACUCUCUCUCGUCUCUGGGUAUGGGGUGCUCACAUACUGUGCAUAUUUAUACAUGCAAGCAAAAUGUUCACACAUGCAGAAAAAAAUUAAUUCUUGGUAAAACAAAACUUGAAAUUAACUGAAUAUAAACAAUCCAAAUUGAAGGGGUGGGGUGGCAAAGCAGACCAGAGCACGUGAAUGGCCUAACCACUACUCAGAAUCUCAGAAAUGAGAGAGGAGCAUUUGUUCAGCAUAUGCAAAGCCCUGGGUUUACUCCCAGCACUGCAAGAAUUAAAACACAGGAUAACCAAGACUUUUCCAAAAAUCAUAAAACACAGAGGCAUUAAGAACCUCAGAAAGCACACCCUCUACACAUGAUGGAGGGAUCACACAAGGUCUGACACCGAAGGCCAGGCAGAACACUCACACACAUUAAAUAAAUCAAUAAAUCUUUUUUAAGGUUAAGAAAUUAAAACAACAACAACUUUUGAUCAGAAAGCAUGUACUAGAUAAUAGCUUAACAUCGGGGCAGGAGGAGAAAUCCAGAUUUUUGAGUCAGUAAAAAUAAUUUUCUACAAGGUAAGAGUAAAUGAAGACCUUUUUGAAAUAAUAAGUAAAUUUAUUAUCAGUAAGUAUGAGUCAUGAAAUGUUAAGGUAGAAUGAAUAUGGACCCAGACAGAAAGCUGGACCUGUAUAAUAAAAGUGAGCUCUCUAGAACUGGCUGAGGUGAUGAUAAACUUUGUAAAAGGCCUUCUUCUACCAGGUGUGUGUGCUGCUGCUCAGCUGUAAGGCCAGCACUGAUGAGGGAGAACACAAGACCUGGUGUCAAAACUAAACUAAACCUAAACUAAAGUAGCAGCAAAGCAUGAAGCCUUCUAAAACACACAAAAGUAAAAUGCAUAAAAACCACAAGAAGCCGGAAGACCCUUACAGUGCUGUGAAGAAGUGCAGUGUCUUCAGGUUGGUGGUGACUAAUGGUGUCACUGUUAGCCGGAAGGCACAAACCACAUUUGUGCAAUCAGUGAAUAAGUGAUAAAGUAGUUUGGGUAUCUGAGGGUGAAGUAGGGAUCUAGAGAGCCAAGUCCAAAUUCACCCUGUCACUGACCAGCUAUGCUGAGAUGGGGCAGAGGCAGACACAGCCCCACUGUGGCCCUCCCAGUCCUCCUUCAGAACCUUAGACAUCAAACACUGGUGACUGUAUCAGCAGGUAAUCCCAGGGGAUUGUACAAGCUACUUGGUGGGAAAAUGGGAAACAAGGUGGAAUUGUUUACAAAAAGUAGAAAGCCCGGAGCCUGGCAGGGCAGACUGUCAGUGCUGAAAUCCUGCUCCUUUGUUCGAGCCUGGAAAACCUAAAAUCCAUGCCACAGUGAUUUGCACUUUGGUUCCCCUCUAUGUAAAACUAAAGAACAGUGACCAUUUCCAAAACUGUCAUUAUGAUUACACAGGUCAUUAAACACAGGUGCCUGUGCAAUACCUGGCACCCAUAAAAAUGUCAGCCCAAUUAUCCAUUCCUAAUUGUUACAGAGACUAGGUACGAUUUAUCAGUAAUGCCACACACUAACCAUCAGACAUUUUAUUCUGAAUAGUUUUGCUGAGCCACACUGCAGUGGGUUACGGGUGCCCUUUCUUAACCAGUGCCCAAUCACUGACCUCAAGCCAAGAGAGAGACUUGCAGAGGAACACUGAGAACUAGCUCUGACCUCCAAUACCUGCUCUGCUGCUCUGGCCAUGAGACGGAGGUGUCAACACGUAGCACAGUAGAGACGGCUGUCAGGUCCACAGCCCAGUGAGUGAUAGCUCCUAAGUUCAGCUGGCCAGAUGUAAUAAAAACAGAGGAUUUGGGCCACAGAAGAGACCAAAGCUGGAAUUGUCUUACUUGAUAAAAAGCUCUUCCUUACUUUCAGGGUCAGGCAUGGGGCUUCCUAAGUCCUGAGUGAGGGAUAAAGGCCAGGCCUGCUACACUCAGAAGAAACUCCAUCUUGGGUCUCCACUGUAAGGGACCACUGCUCCCUCUGCAGGACUGAUAGCCCAUUGCUGUCUCCGUAGAAAGAGAAUAUUGAGAAAUGGUGACCAUUAUUAAUUACACUUACAGUAAUCAUAUAAAAAGUCAGUAUAAUGGAUACAUGGGGGAGAACCACAGCAUUACAGAGGCCAGAGGACAAUGCUUUCAUCAGUCAUCUCCUCCAUCUACAUGAGGACUCCAGGCACAGGCCUCAGGGAACAGGCUUGCUUAGCGAGUGCCUUUACCUGCUCUAUCUUGCUAGCCCUUGUUGAAGAACUUUGAACUAAAGGGUCUUUGGUGCACAUUCCAAUCUCAUAUCUGCUACUGACAUGCUAGACAAACAUGGCUGAGUAAGUCUACUGCCUUAGGGCUCCCAUUUCAUGUUUCUUAACACAAGCAUCCUUAUUCCUGAACAUGGGAUCUCCACAGGCUCUACCCCCUCACACACGCUAAUGACAGCAUAAUGACCUAUCCCAUCCCACAGCAUUCGCACUGGCCUAGACAGAAACAUGAAUAGCUUGGGCAAUGCCAGAGAGGCCUGAAAGUCUCCAGAAGAUGGCAGCCAUGCCCUUGCUGUUAGCAUCCCCAAGAGAGCCAGGCCAGGGCCAGCUCAUCUCAGGCAACAGGAAACACGCUGUGGGGACUGCAGACUGAGAAGCAUAGCCAACCAACACUGAGCUUCAGGAAAGCAUCCAGGCUUUGCCAGGAUGAUCUCACCACUGGCACAAUGCCUCACUAGCUCACUGGCUCUCAAGCUGUUAGGCUCGCAGCCUAAAGGAAUUGCCAGUUUGGUGGAAUCCCAGCUGUGAUCAUUGUAAAAACAGAGGAUUGACUUGAGCAAAUGGGUAUUUACUCCUAAUGAGCUAAUGCCUGCGCAAUGCUUCAACACGAGGGGACCACGGAUCCACAAGCAACAUGGGGAAGACAGCCAGACUAUAACGGGAAUGCUGUGGGCAAGAAGAGAUGAUGGAACGGAGGGUUGUGCUCCACUGAAAAGCAACACCCCGCAGAGAGAACACUCUUAAGCCUCUUAAAAUGCCAUGAGAGGCACAGCAGCCACAGGGGAGGGGCCAGGCUGGACAGCCUGGGGAUGCACUUCCCCAACCUCUCACAUGCGUGAGAAGCUCUGAGAGCUGGCAGAGCUCAGGCUGCCACCGCUACUGAGGAUGUUGUGGUAGCUCCAGUUCUCUCCUCAGGGAUGAACACAGUAUAAAGCAGCCCUAAUAAAAGCACAGCUAAUGGAGCCAGAAUCACCACAGUCCUGUGGCAACACCUAAAGGUCACAGUGCUGGACAGUGCCGGGGGUUAAAGGUUGUACACAACAAAGACUAGGAAGCCGGAGCCAGCAGGGCAGGCUGCUGCCUGCUCGUGGGAUGCUGGGGGCUUACAUGUAUUAGAAAUAGAAGACGGCAAUGGCCAUCGACAUAGGUCAGUAGAUGUAGGCCAGUCAUUAGGAUUUCUAUCUGGCAUGCAUAAAGCCCUAGGCUCAAUUCUCAGCACCACAUAAACUAGUAACUCCCAUACCCACUAGGAGAGGCAAGAGCAUCAGAAACUAGCCAAGUCAUCCUUGGCUAGAAAGAGGGUAAGUAUCUUCUCCUGUCCUGCUUCUUCCAAGACUAAAGGCAUGAAAGACUUGUAUUUUUUAAAUUAUGUGUAGAGGCCAGAGUGUUGAAUCCCCUGAAGCUGGAGCUAGAGGAGGUUGUGAGCCAUGUAACACGGGUGCUGAGGAUUGAUCUAAGUCCCCUGGAAGAAAGGCAAGUGCUCUUAUUCUCUGAGCCAUCUUCUCCAGGCCCAAGAUUAGAAACUUUAAAUUGCAACUUCUUUUCUCUUCAUUGUAUACAUGUGAAUGCAAUGCGAGCAUUGUGUGUACGUGGAAGGUCCCUCAGGCAUAGUAUGUGUCUUUUCCUAAUGAGCCCUCCCUCUGUCUUGCUACCCCAUCCCCCUCCUCCUUCUCCUCCUUUGCAGUAAGAACGUUACUACACAGCCCUGGGCCUUGGGAUCCUCCUACUUCAGGCUCUUGAUUUCUGGGAUUGCAGGCAAGUGUCACCACACUCAGCAAAGGUGAAUUUCUUCAAAUAAGAUACGUUAAGAGGUUGCAAAGUUCAGGAUUUUGUUUUUCUCUGUUCCUGCAGGUCUGGUGAGUAUGAAAUGGUGGGUAAGAUAAUCCUGAUUACAAAGUCCAAGAAGACACACAUGGUUCCACAUCAAGUACCCAACUGGCCAGAGGAAGCCAAGUUUCCCUUCUUUCAGAGCCAUAGGGUAAAGACGAAUGAAAAACUCUUAGAAGAUACCCAGAAGCCUAGCCUGUGGUAUACAACUAUAAUCCCUGCACUCAGGAAGCUAAGGCAGGAGCCAGCCUGCGCUACCUGUCAGGAUCUGACUUUAAAAUAUAAAUAGAUAAGUAGGUUGCUGUAGUGUGCAUGCAUACAGAGCCUCCCCAUCCCCUCUCCCAGGGAGCCAUAUCUUCUCUGGCACAGCUGACUGAGGACCUUGAGGAGGCAAACAGACAAAGAUAAGAGAGAAAGUGUGCCAGGCACAUUUCGCAAUAUGAUAAAAGUACCCUCUUUCUGCGACCAGCUAAUGAAGGAUGGCUCAGGGGCUGGAUGAAAUCAGACAAACAACAGAGCCUAGUAGCUCUCCCACAACAGAAGGCCAGCCUUAGACUCUAAAGUCGGAUCAGUUAGUUAGGAGUAACAAGGAAAACUGUGUGAAGCCUGGGGCAGCCUCUCCUCCUCCUCCUCCUCCUCCUCCUCCUCCUCCUCCUCCUCCUCCUCCUCCUCCUCCUCCUCCUCCUCCUCCUCCUCCAGAAGCCAUGCCCUUGAGGCUUACCAGUGGGGCAGAAGGAAAAAAGAUGCUACUGACCACACUGACUCCCAGAAGGCCCUCUGCAGAGUAGUCGUCUUAGCUCUUUAGGCCAGAAGUUGCACCAGAGACUUCUGGGAGAGCAGGGUCAGAUUCCUUUUGGGUGGUAUUCCCACACAUCACUUUGAGCCUUUGGGGAGGACUUACCCUCCCUGGCCAGCACUACAUCUGUUUUCUGGAUAGCUGAAUUCAGCUUUGUCUCAGCUUACACAGCACCUGGCCCAGGCACACUGAUAAAACCAGGGAGUGUACAGCCGCAUGGGGCUAGGGCACUGGCGCGAGCACACAGCUAAGAACUGAGCUUCAGUUCCACCUCUUCCACACAGCUGCCAGUGGGCACUGCAGACCUUUCCUGGGAUCGUAGCUGAGGGUCCCAAGAGGCGGACACUGACACUCAAGAGGGCCUUGGCAGGACAAGGGUGGGUGUUUGGCUAAUGUUACUAAAGCAGAGACUACUACCCUGCUUGCCUGCAGAGGGCCACAUGUGGACAAAGGCGCAGGCAAGAUUGCCUUGUCUGCCUCUGUUGCCUUGUCUCAGCCGUCUGCUCCAUCUCUGAGGGGGUCCUGGAACACAAACUGCAGGUGCCCUGGACUUGAGACAGAGCAAGAAAUCUACAGAAAUCCUUUCUGAUCGACCUAGCAAGAGACUGGCACAUGAAUGGGACCCCUAAGGACCACAUACAGCCCACUUUAGCCCUGAGUCUCAGAAGCUAGGAGUGUAUUCUUCUGAAGAAGCGGCCUGGUGGUCAACAGGAAAGAAGAUCAGCACUAGCAAGUAGGCUGCAGGCAGGGCUUGAUCUUUUCAUUUACAAUGUUCUUUUAAAGUUUUGCUUAUAUGGCAACUUUUCAUUGGAAUGAAUACUUGGGGCAAGAUUACAUUAUCUGAUUCUCUGAAUCACACCAAGGCACAGGCGCCACUCCAGCCUGCCCUCUCUGCAUCCUGAGGGGGAGAAAGCUCAGCUGCCAGUCACCUGUUGAUGAAGCCCUGGUACUCUCCACUUCCAGGGCAGGAGUCAAAGGAUUCAGAGCCCACUACGAAGAGGGAAAAGGGCUGGCUUGGGGAUAGAACGGCAGCCUGUCCCAACAGCUCUGAAAGGAGGUUCUCUUUUGAGUCUUUCUUCAUCCAGGUUUCACCAUGCUCAACACCACAGGAUGCCCAGGCUGAGAGAGCUUCCUUGGGAGAUGCGGGCUUCCAGGAGCUCCUUCAAUGUGUUUGUGACACUUGCUCCAGCAGGAAGCCUUAUAACAGCUCUUGUUUAUUCCCUCAGGCUAGACCAAGGAAUAUGCAGGAAAGACUUGCCAUCAGAGACUGCAAUAACAGCUCUUGUUUAUUCCCUCAGGCUAGACCAAGGAAUAUGCAGGAAAAGACUUGCCAUCAGAGACUGCAAUAACAGCUCUUGUUUAUUCCCUCAGGCUAGACCAAGGAAUAUGCAGAAAAAGACUUGCCAUCAGAGACAGCAGAGACUUUGACCAGCCAACCUAGAGAGAUCAGAAUGUCUGCCAACCAGAAAACAAGUUUCUAAAAACCACCAACUCAAGUAGAACCAACAUUCUGAGAAAUUUCCAACUAGGCAAAAUCCAUUCCAGCUGGUCUUUGCUAGUCAGCUACCAGGAAAUGAUGGGUCCACCAGGAAUGGAGCUGGCCACAGGAAACAUGGGUGCCAAUAGCAGGCUGAGGAGACUGCAAAGGCACCAAGGAGAGACUCCAGAAGCAUGAACACCUUGAGAGAGAAGCAGCAGCAGGUGGGCAGCAGGGCUUCACACCAUGGGGAAACAGGCUGCAUUCCUACCCUGUCAGCCAGCUUUCCUGGGUCAGUGAAGCAAUGCCAGACACUUCAAGCUCCACUUUGCUCAGACAGUAGUGCCAGGAGUCUGGUAGUCACUGGGAAUCAGUCUCUUUCACUCUAGCUCAGGUCAGGAGAUAUACCGGCCAGAGAGAAUUCAACCUCUCUGAACUCAACUGCCAAGAACAGAGGACACCAGGACAGCGGGCAGCCUAUGGCUAUCUGGUGUAUUUUCCGGGAAGGUUCUUCCAAUUAAAGACAAGGAGAAUCUGUGUGUCUGGAGCCAAGCAGGAGUCUGUGGCCCUGUCACUCUGCUGCUCUCCUGAGUCCUUUCCCCACAAAAUCCCUUUGUGGCCACUCCAACACACUGCAGGGCUCUGUAACUCACAUUGUCUUUGUGCCCACCCCCACCCCCAAGUCCCCCUCAGUGUCCUUAGACUGAUGUAGUCAUCCGAAUGCACAGCCACCGUCUCAGGCGCCACCUAGGGGCAUGCAGGCUCAACCACCGCAGCGCAGGGCACUCUCAGCGCGGUGCCCUCCUCCAUGCCUAGCACACAGCGGGAGCUGUUUAACUGCCACCAUCAGCACUGGCCUGAGAGAGGGUCUCAGAAAGGUUAAGAGGAAGAGUGGGCGCAGAAAGAUGUCAGCUGAGUGUCCGGAACAGCAUGCUCCCCUGGGAGUCUCUCCCACUUUGGGCAGGUCUGUUUACAGGAAUAUGGAGCUCCUACAGAAACAAACCCACCUGCCCUUCUCCCCAGGAGAGCAGGAUGAAGACCAGGUUCAGGACCAACUGAAGAGUCACUGACAGUCGGGCACUGGGAACUACAUAGGGCCCACUCAGAGUUUUGGCUACUGUACACAAUCUGCAGUUUUAUACUUGUCCUCAUAAAGGGAAUUUGGUAUCUUGA